AACGAACGCUGGCGGCGUGGAUUAGGCAUGCAAGUCGAACGGAGAUCUUUUAUAGCAAUAUGAAAGGUCUUAGUGGCGUAAGGGCGAGUAACACGUGGGUAACGUACCUUGAUGCUGGGAAUACCCUCCCGAAAAGGGAGGUUAAUACCGAAUGUGGUCAUGCGGCGCAAGCCGGAUGGCUAAAGGUGGGGAUUCGCAAGAACCUGCCGCAUUAAGAGCGACCCGCGUCCUAUCAGCUAGUUGGUGGGGUAAUGGCCUACCAAGGCAACGACGGGUAGCCGAGUUGAGAGACUGACCGGCCGCAUUGGGACUGAGACACUGCCCAGACUCCUACGGGUGGCUG
rnacentral:rRNA from 1 species